GGCUCUUUCUUUUAACUCAUCAAGCAGAAAGCACAAUAAGCCAGAAUUGUUCUAAAAUACUUGUAAUUAUUAACUCAUUUCAGUGGUUAGCACAGUGUGAUGAGCAUCUACUAUAUGACUGUAAAAACUUGUACAUUACUCCAUUAUCUGUGAUUCUCACAAUAACCCUUAAAGGUUAUUAGUAUUAUUCCUAUUGUGACCACUUCUGAGAAACAGGAGGCCUCCCCAUCUGAAAGCCGACUUGAAUGUCAAGACCGAAGCUGAUGUGCAUAAUAUCCCCACCUGCAAGAGGGUGCUACCCUCAGCAAGUUGAAAGUAGGACUUUAGCAUCCUCUCCAUGCCUUUUCCAAAGCUUGCAAACUUUGAUUACAUCAGCAAGGAAACAGGGUGCCUUCCAGCCAACAGCCAGUGGGGACUCAGCAUGUGAGCUUGAAAGCAGAUCCUGUCCCCAUCCGGGCUUUGAAGAACCUGACCUUGGGCGACACUGGUCUGGGCCUUGUCAGUGCCCCCGAAGCAGAGGUCUGAGCUGUGCCACGCCUAGGGUUCUGAUUCACAGAAACUUGGGGUUAACAAUCACGUGUGCUUUUAAGCCAUUAAGUUGCAGUGACAUGCUCUGCGGUGAAAGAUUGAGAUAAGAACCGAGUGGGGAGGAACGCAUGCAGCACCGACCAAAGCUCACCUGUUCAGUAAGGCUAUGGGGGGGUUGCGCCCCCACAUUCGUGUGAGGGAAGCCUGAUCUCCAAUACGAUGGGUCGGGAGUGGGUCAGGAGGUGAAGCCCUCCCAUGCGGGCUGAGGUUGUUAUUGUGGGAAUGGGUUAGUUAGCGCAGGAGUGGAUUGUUAGGAGACAGCUCUGCCUGUGUCCUUUGUCCCUCUGCAGGCACCUGCACGACCUUCCACUUGCUUCAUGGGAUGAUACGGAACGAGUCCCUGCCAGAGGUGGCUGUCAUGCCCAGGGUGCAGAAUCAUCAGCUGAAUAAGCUUCUAUUCUUUAUAAAUUACCCAGCCCAUGGUAUUUUGUUAUGGUAACAGAAAACCGACUAAGACAACUACAAUCACCCACCUCACAAGAUAAUUUGUUUUGGAAAAUGUGCUCAUAGGUAGGGCUUUGGGGAGGUGACUGGAUCACAGGAGCACGAUAUUCAUCGGUGGAUGAGUCUACUGAUGAGUUCAUAGCCACAUGUGAUGUGGAGAGGUGAAAUCUGGUCUGGAGAAGAGGUUACUGGGGGUGUGGCCUGGGAGGGUCUGUCUCCCUCCUCCCUCCUCGAUCCCUCUCUGCUUCCUGCCUGCCCUGUCAUGGACUGUUUCUCCUCUGCCGGGCCACCUUGCCUUGGAGCCAGCAGACCAUGGACUGAAAGCUCUACAAACUCCGAGACAAGCUAGACUUUACCUUGUGGGUGUCAGAUACUGUGUCCCAGCAACAAGAAAGUAACUAAGACAAGGACUAGAGAUGGAGGGAGGGCCGCAGGAGGGAAGGGGAUGUACACAGAAUGAAGAUGUGUUAUGUACGUGUACCCAUUCCUCAUGAGGAAUGUGACCAUAGGUACUGCACACGUGUACUAAUAAAAUAAAAAGUAAAUAAAAGAAAAUGUGGCUCAGUAAGAACUUUCCACGACACAAAAGCCAUAUGUUGUGUUUUUGGCCUUUCUGUUUU
ensembl:lincRNA